rnacentral:lncRNA from 1 species
AUGCGUCGCAAAAACCUCUUAAAGAACUCUGACAACCCACAAUACCAUACAGUCCCAAAGCUGCAGCUGCAACGACCUUCUGCUGUGGCCACAUUCCCAAGACUGCAUGCACAGCAAGCACUUACAGUGUGCAGAUGCAACCAUCAGCUGCCAGCUCACUUCUGCUGUUCUCUAAGCUCCUUCCAAAUCUCAGCAUCUUCCCCAUUAAAGGCAACCAAGACUGCAGUAAAAGUUUCUGCUGACUCGAAUAAAAGAACAGUGUCUCAUUGCAAGAAGCAGAACUAGCUGCUUCCAGACCAAACUGGAAUUUUACAAUGGGAUUUAUUGACAUGUUCAGUAAAACCAAAGGAUUCUGCAAGACAUAACUGCUACUAAAGGCAUUGCACUUUUCUCCAAAAAAAAA